rnacentral:rRNA from 1 species
GGGAUUGAUAGACUCAUCAGUGGUAGAGGAGCAAUCUGUAAGGACGAAGCCUGAGUGAAAACAAAGGUGGACUGAACAGAAGAGAGAAUGCCGGAAUGAGUAGCGAGAUAUAAGUAAGAAUCUUAUGGGCCGAAUAUCUAAGGUUUCCUGAGUAAAGCUGAUCUUCUCAGGGUAAGUCGGGACCUAAGGCGAGGACGAGAGUCGUAGUCGAUGGACGACUGGCAGAGAUUCCAGUACUAUAAUCAAUCAGAACUGUGGGGACGCAGGAGGAUAAGCAAACCGGGGAAAGGGAAAACCCGGUCAAGCACAAAGUUUAGGCAGUAGGCAAAUCCGCUGUCAUAUGAUGAAGUGCGAUGAGGACGAAAAGGAGUAGGGAAGUUGCUGAAUCCACACUGCCGAGAAAGGCCGCUAUAGUGUUGAUUAUACCCGUACCGUAAACCGACACAGGUAGAUGAGGAGAAAAUCCACAGGCCGACGGGAGAAGUGUUGUUAAGGAACUCGGCAAAAUGACCCCGUAACUUAGGGAUAAGGGGAGCCAACGAGAGUUGGUCACAGAAAAGAGGCUCACGCAACUGUUUAGCAAAAACAUAGGUCUCUGCGAAACCGUAAGGUGAAGUAUAGGGGCUGACACCUGCCCGGUGCUGGAAGGUCAAAAGGAGAGGUUAGCGUAAGCGAAGCUUUGAAUUCAAGCCCCAGUAAACGGCGGCCGUAACUAUAACGGUCCUAAGGUAGCGAAAUUCCUUGUCAGGUAAGUUCUGACCCGCACGAAAGGUGUAAUGAUGUGAGCACUGUCUCGACAACACGCCCGGUGAAAUUGAAGAGCUAGUGGAGAUACUAGCUGCCCGCAAUAGGACGGAAAGACCCCAUGGAGCUUUACUGCAAUCUAAUACUGGGAUUCGAUGAUGUAUGUACAGGAUAGGAGGGAGACUGAGAAGAUAGGACGCCAGUCUUGUCGGAGUCGACGGUGGGAUACCUCUCUUAUAUCAUUGAAUUUCUAACCCUGUUCCGUAAUCCGGGAGGGGGACAAUGUUAGGUGGGCAGUUUGACUGGGGCGGUCGCCUCCUAAAGAGUAACGGAGGCGCUCGAAGGUCACCUCAGAAUGAUUGGAAACCAUUCAAAGAGUGUAAAGGCAAAAGGUGGCUUGACUGCGAGGUCGACGGACCGAGCAGGUACGAAAGUAGGACUUAGUGAUCCGGUGGUAAUAAGUGGGAAUGCCAUCGCUCAACGGAUAAAAGCUACCCUGGGGAUAACAGGCUUAUCUCCCCCAAGAGUUCACAUCGACGGGGAGGUUUGGCACCUCGAUGUCGGCUCAUCGCAUCCUGGGGCUGAAGUCGGUCCCAAGGGUUGGGCUGUUCGCCCAUUAAAGCGGUACGCGAGCUGGGUUCAGAACGUCGUGAGACAGUUCGGUCCCUAUCCGUUGUGGGAGUAGGAAAUUUGAGAGGAGCUGUCCUUAGUACGAGAGGACCGGGAUGGACGAACCACUGGUGGACCAGUUGCAUACCAAAUGCACAGCUGGGUAGCCAAGUUUGGAACGGAUAAACGCUGAAGGCAUCUAAGCGUGAAGCCGCCCUCAAUACAAGAUUUCCCAUCACUAUAAGUGAGUAAGACCCCUUGAAGACUACAAGGUUGAUAGGUCAGAGGUGUAAGUGCAGUAAUGUAUUUAGCUGACUGAUACUAAUAGGUCGAGGGCUUGACC